UACGUAGGGGGCAAGCGUUAUCCGGAUUUACUGGGUGUAAAGGGAGCGUAGACGGCAGCACAAGUCUGAAGUGAAAUGCCGGGGCUUAACCCCGGAACUGCUUUGGAAACUGUGCAGCUAGAGUGCAGGAGAGGUAAGUGGAAUUCCUAGUGUAGCGGUGAAAUGCGUAGAUAUUAGGAGGAACACCAGUGGCGAAGGCGGCUUACUGGACUGUAACUGACGUUGAGGCUCGAAAGCGUGGGGAGCAAACAGG
rnacentral:rRNA from 1 species